UACGAACUGUGCAAACGUUAUUCGGAAUCACUGGGCUUACAGGGUGCGUAGGUGGCCGGGAAAGUCAGGUGUGAAAUCCCUCAGCUCAACUGAGGAACUGCGCUUGAAACUGCUUGGCUAGAGUGAACUAGGGGUGCAUGGAACUGCCGGUGGAGCGGUGAAAUGUGUUGAUAUCGGCAGGAACACCGGAGCCGAAAGGGAUGCACUGGGGUUUAACUGACACUGAGGCACGAAAGCCAGGGGAGCAAACGGG
rnacentral:rRNA from 1 species